rnacentral:lncRNA from 1 species
ACAAAUUUAACUAAAAGUAGCAAAAUGAAUCCCAUAGUGAUGUGAUAAACCUGUAAAAUAUUACAAACAAUAUAAAUAAAUAAAUAAAUGAAAUAAUUAAAAUACUUAGUAUAUAAUAUAAAUGAAAUAAUUAAACUUACAGUAUAUGAUGCACUUUAAGGAACAGGUUGAUCAUCCUGCUCUGGAUCAUUUAAACACCCCUAUGUCACUAAAUAAACUUUAUUCUUUGCAUCAUCAAUAUUUUUUUUAAACACUACAAAAAUUAAAAACUUCAUAAUAUAAUUAAUUAUUAAAACAUAAUUAGUGGAAAAGAAUAUCACAUAACAUCAAAGAUUCUACGAAAGGAACUAAUCUACAUUUUCAUGUUAUAAUUGAAUUCGUUUCUAUGUAAAUUACAAAGCUUACAUGAAAUUGGUGCAAUUGCCAUAUAUAUUUAUCGAGUAUAUUAUUAAUUUACAUUCAUUCUUUUCUUUGUAAUAGGGAAACCAUGACCUUCCUAGCUACUAUUGUUAUUAUUCCUAUAGGCAUUCUUUUCAUCCUUUCUGGCCUAAUUGUAAAUAUUAUUCAAGUAACAUAACAUUCACAUAAAUAUAUUAUUAAUUUACAAAAUUUUAAUAUUUUUUUAAAAUUAUCUCUCUGAAUAGCAUGUUUGGCCUAAACAUUUAAAUUUUUUCUAUAAAAAUAAAUAUGUUGAAUAUCUUGUAAUACCAAUGUUGUAUCAAAAUAUGUUAGAGUAACUUAGAGAUUAUAUCUUUAGAUUAGUUUUCCUUUUUGUUUUGGAAAGAUAAAAUUUAAAUCAAAAUCUAAAAUAAAUAAAAUUCCUAAAUUAUUAAAAAUUCUAAAUAAAUAAAAAUUUAAAUUAUUUAAACCAUUACAUGGAAGUUAGCCUUAUUUUUAGUUGUCUCUAUUGGAAGAACAAUUUAAUAUUGACAAGGGUCUAAAUCUACAACUACAUCAAAGAAAUUAAAAAAGAAGAAGAACCGAGGUAGCAAAAUUGAAGUGAAUCAGGAAAACAUGUGUAAAUAUGUUUAUCAAAAUAGAUAUAAUUAAUUCUUGUUUAACAAGUUUAGGAUCUAAUAUCAAUUUUACUAACGAGAAAGAGUUAACUGUAGUCAAUUAAUUUGUUUUGAUGCAUGAGAUUGGGUCACACUUAAUAAUCCAAACCAACAACAUAUACCAGCAACCAAUAUAUCAGCUCAAUAAUCUAAAUAAAAAAUCAAAAAAAUAUGAACCUUUAAAUGGAGUGACGCGGAGGAGGCUAGGGUUAGUUACGCGGAGGAGGCGGUGACGUGCAAGCAGUGACGCAGAGGCACGCGGAGGAGGCGGUGACGCUCAACCAGUGACGCGGAGCCACGCGAAAGAGGUGGUGACGCCCAAACAGUGACGCGAAGGCAGCGGAGGAGGCGGUCACGCGUAGGCUCGCAGAGGCACACGAAGGAGGCGGUCACGCGGAGGCACACGGAGGAGGCGCUGACACAGAGGCACACGGAGGAGGUGCUGACACGGAGGAGGCGAAGGACUCUCCCGGAGCAGUGACGGCCGCAGAGGCAGAGUUGAAGAACGACGAAAAUUCUAGGUUUUCAAAUUUGGGGCAAGUUCUGUGAGUGUUGGGAAAGCGAAGACAAAUUUUUUUAUAUAUAGUCCCA